UCAGCCUCCCGAGUAGCUGGGACUACAAGGUGCCUGCCACAAUGCCCAGCUAAUUUUUUGUAUUUUUUAGUACAGACGGGGUUUCACUGUUAGCCAGGAUGGUCUCAAUCUCUUGACCUCGUGAUCUGCCCAGCUCGGCCUCUCAAAGUGCUGGGAUUACAGGCGUGAUAUUCUCCCCUUCUUAUAAGGACACCACUUACACUGACUGAAGGACCCAACCUACUUCAGUAUCUUACUCAUGUUAACUUGAUUAUGUCUCUAAAGGCUCUGUUUCCAAAUGAGGUCACAUUCACAGGUACCAGGGGUUAGGACUUUGCUAUGGCUUGAAUGUUUAUGUCUCCCCCAAAAUUCAUGCUAGAACUUAAACCCCAACAUGAUAGUAUUAAGAGGUGCUGCCUUCGGGAGGUGAUUAAGUCAUGAGGGCAAAACCCUUGUGAGUGGGAUUAGUGACCUUAUAAAAGGGCAACUAGCUUGACCUUUUUUUUUUUUUUUUUUUUUUUUUUUUUGCCCUUCUGUCCCUCCUGCUAUGUGAGGAUGCAGCACUUUUUCCCUCUGGAGGAAGCAGCUUUCACCUUGGAAGAAUCUUGACCUUGCCAUUCAAAGUCACCAGACAGGGAAUCUGCCAGUGCCUUGAUCUUAGACUUCCCAGCUUCUGUAACUGUGAGCAAUAAAUGUAUGCUGCUUAUAAACUAUCCAGUCUCAUGCAUUUUGU
rnacentral:lncRNA from 1 species